GACGAACGCUGGCGGCGUGCUUAACACAUGCAAGUCGAACGGGCCUUGUCCCCUUUUUUUUUGGGGGUGGGGUUAGUGGCGAACGGGUGAGUAACACGUGAGUAACCUGCCCCUCACUUCUGGAUAACCGCUUGAAAGGGUGGCUAAUACGGGGUGUUCUGGCCUGCUCGCAUGGGUGGGUUUGGAAAGAUUCGACCGGUUUUGGUUGUUUUGGUGGGGGAUGGGCUCGCGGCCUGUCAGCUUGUUGGUGGGGUGAGGGCCUGCCAAGGCUUUGACGGGUUGCCGGCCUGAGAGGGUGGGCGGUCACACUGGGACUGAGACACGGCCCAGACUCCUACGGGAGGCAGCAGUGGGGAAUAUGGCACAAUGGGCGCAAGCCUGAUGCAGCGACGCCGCGUGAGGGAUGGAGGCCGUCGGGUUGUGAACCUCUUUCGCCAGUGAAGAAGGUCCUGCUCUUUGUGGUGGGGUUGACGGUAGCUGGGUUAAUGAAGCGCCGGCUAACUACGUG
rnacentral:rRNA from 1 species